rnacentral:lncRNA from 1 species
GCGGAGUCUGCGCGCGCGUCGAGACCUGGCGAGCGGAGGACGGAGCAAGACGACGGUGGCUGCUAGGGUGCGUGCCUGGUAGCGAGAAUAGGGAGAAGGAGAAGGAUAACGGAUGUAGAGACGACGUUAGUAUCAAUGGUUUAAUCAUAGACGUUACCUUGUAAUGGCGUGGUCAUGUUCAUUUUGGAGUGUGGGUAGUCCCCUAGUUUUUUAUAACAGCGAAUCCCUCGCCUACGCCUCCAAAUCGUCGAAGCCGCACCUGAGGACUUCUAUAAUGGCAAAUUUCUC